GGCAGCACAGGAGAGCUUGCUCUCUGGGUGGCGAGUGGCGGACGGGUGAGGAAUACAUCGGAAUCUACUCUGUCGUGGGGGAUAACGUAGGGAAACUUACGCUAAUACCGCAUACGACCUACGGGUGAGCAGGGGAUCUUCGGACCUUGCGCGAUUGAAUGAGCCGAUGUCGGAUUAGCUAGUUGGCGGGGUAAAGGCCCACCAAGGCGACGAUCCGUAGCUGGUCUGAGAGGAUGAUCAGCCACACUGGAACGGACACGGUCCAGACUCCUACGGGAGGCAGCAGUGGGGAAUAUUGGACAAUGGGCGCAAGCCUGAUCCAGCCAUACCGCGUGGGUGAAGAAGGCCUUCGGGUUGUAAAGCCCUUUUGUUGGGAAAGAACCAGCUGGUUAAUACCCGGUUGGGAUGACGGUACCCAAAGAAUAAGCACCGGCUAACUUCGUGCCAGCAGCCGCGGUAAUACGAAGGGUGCAAGCGUUACUCGGAAUUACUGGGCGUAAAGCGUCGUGGUGGUUAUUUAAGUCCGUUGUGAAAGCCCUGGGCUCAACCUGGGAACUGCAGUGGAUACUGGAUGACUAGAAUGUGGUAGAGGGUAGCGGAAUUCCUGGUGUAGCAGUGAAAUGCGUAGAGACAGGGGAACAUCCAUGGCGAAGGCAGCUACCUGGACCAACAUUGACACUGAGGCACGAAAGCGUGGGGAGCAAACAGGAUUAGAUACCCUGGUAGUCCACGCCCUAAACGAUGCGAACUGGAUGUUGGUGCAUUUGGCACGCAGUAUCGAAGCUAACGCGUUAAGUUCGCCGCCUGGGGAGUACGGUCGCAAGACUGAAACUC
rnacentral:rRNA from 2 species